rnacentral:rRNA from 1 species
CGGGGGGCAGCAGUGGGGAAUAUUGCACAAUGGGCGCAAGCCUGAUGCAGCCAUGCCGCGUGUGUGAAGAAGGCCUUCGGGUUGUAAAGCACUUUCAGUGGGGAGGAAGGCGGUGAGGUUAAUAACCUCAUCGAUUGACGUUACCCGCAGAAGAAGCACCGGCUAACUCCGUGCCAGCAGCCGCGGUAAUACGGAGGGUGCAAGCGUUAAUCGGAAUUACUGGGCGUAAAGCGCACGCAGGCGGUCUGUCAAGUCGGAUGUGAAAUCCCCGGGCUCAACCUGGGAACUGCAUUCGAAACUGGCAGGCUAGAGUCUUGUAGAGGGGGGUAGAGUUCCAGGUGUAGCGGUGAAAUGCGUAGAGAUCUGGAGGAAUACCGGUGGCGAAGGCGGCCCCCUGGACAAAGACUGACGCUCAGGUGCGAAAGCGUGGGGAGCAAACAGGAUUAGAUACCCGAGUAGUC